rnacentral:rRNA from 1 species
GACGAACGCUGGCGGCGUGCUUAACACAUGCAAGUCGAACGGAAAGGCCCUGCUUUUGUGGGGUGCUCGAGUGGCGAACGGGUGAGUAACACGUGAGUAACCUGCCCUUGACUUUGGGAUAACUUCAGGAAACUGGGGCUAAUACCGGAUAGGAGCUCCUGCUGCAUGGUGGGGGUUGGAAAGUUUCGGCGGUUGGGGAUGGACUCGCGGCUUAUCAGCUUGUUGGUGGGGUAGUGGCUUACCAAGGCUUUGACGGGUAGCCGGCCUGAGAGGGUGACCGGCCACAUUGGGACUGAGGUACGGCCCAGACUCCUACGGGAGGCAGCAGUGGAGAAUAUUGCACAAUGGGCGGAAGCCUGAUGCAGCAACGCCGCGUGCGUGAUGACGGCCUUCGGGUUGUAAACCGCUUUCGCCUGUGACGAAGCGUGAGUGACGGUAAUGGGUAAAGAAGCACCGGCUAACUACGUG